CGGGGGGGCAAGCGUUGUUCGGAAUUACUGGGCGUAAAGGGUGCGUAGGCGGCUCUCUAAGUCGGAUGUGAAAACUCUGGGCUCAACCCAGAGCCUGCAUCUGAAACUGGAGGGCUAGGGUUUUUGGAGGGGAAAGCGGAAUUCCAGGUGUAGCGGUGAAAUGCGUAGAUAUCUGGAGGAACACCGGUGGCGAAGGCGGCUUUCUGGACAAAUACCGACGCUGAGGCACGAAAGCUAGGGGAGCAAACAGGAUUAGAUACCCUGGUAGUCCUAGCCCUAAACUAUGGAUACUUGCUGUGGGGGGGAUUGAAGCCCCUUGUGGCGAAGCUAACGCAUUAAGUAUCCCGCCUGGGGAGUACGGUCGCAAGGCUG
rnacentral:rRNA from 1 species